AGGCAACUCUUCACUUGUCAGAGAUAGUGCGACCGAUUUCCGCACAUGCGCGUUCGAUGUCUGCAGCGCCCACUCGACGCUGAAGUAGCGGCGCUGCUAGUCCGCUAGCGUUUAGGAUAGGGUGAGGUGUGGGCGACAGAGCCUGGAGCCGUUUGUCAGGGAACUGAACACGCACAUCUGCCCAGGAAUUGGAGAAACUGGAGGAGUCUCUAGAGGAAGGUAGAGUGAUUGCAGACCCAGCUAUUCCUCACAUGAAGGAGCUAUUUGUAAGGCCUCCUUAGACAGCCAUUUUGCAGCGCAGGCGGCUGCGACGCUGCACA